rnacentral:rRNA from 1 species
GAUGAACGCUGGCGGCGUGCCUAAUACAUGCAAGUCGAGCGAACAGACGAGGAGCUUGCUCCUCUGACGUUAGCGGCGGACGGGUGUGUAACACGUGGAUAACCUACCUAUAUGUCUGGGAUAACUUCGGGAAACCGGAGCUAAUACCGGAUAAUAUAUUGAACCGCAUGGUUCAAUAGUGAAAGACGGUUUUGCUGUCACUUAUAGAUGGAUCCGCGCCGCAUUAGCUAGUUGGUAAGGUAACGGCUUACCAAGGCAACGAUGCGUAGCCGACCGGAGAGGGGGGUCGGCCACACGGGAGCUGGAACACGGACCAGACGCCUACGGGAGGCAGCAGUAGGGAAUGGUCCGCAAUAGGCGAAAGCCUUACGGAGCAGCGCCGCGUGAGUGAUGAAGGCCUUCGGAUCGUAAAAAUCUGUUAUGGGGGAAGAACAAAUGUGUAAGGAACUAUGCACGUCGUGACGGUACCUGAUCAGAAAGCCACGGCUAACUACGUG